GCUGGUGUGGCGGAAUGGUAUACGCGCUCGCCUUAAGAGCGAGUGGGCUAUGCUCGUGUGGGUUCGACUCCCACCACCAGCA
rnacentral:tRNA from 2 species